UACGAGAGGCCCAAACGUUAUUCGGAAUUACUGGGCUUAAAGAGUUCGUAGGCGGCGCAGAAAGUGGGGUGUGAAAGCCCUCGGCUCAACCGAGGAAUUGCGCUCCAAACUACUGUGCUUGAGGAAGCUAGAGGUGAGCAGAACUGAUGGUGGAGCGGUGAAAUGCGUUGAUAUCAUCAGGGAUACCGGAGGCGAAGGCGGCUCACUGGGGCUUUUCUGACGCUGAGGAACGAAAGCCAGGGUAGCGAACGGG
rnacentral:rRNA from 1 species